rnacentral:pre_miRNA from 1 species
UAACUACUCCCUCCGUUCCGAAUUACUUGUCUUAGAUUUGUCUAGAUACGGAUGUAUCUAGCACUAAAAUGAGUCUAGAUACAUCCGUAUCUAGACAAAUCCAAGACAAGUAAUUUGGAACGGAGGGAGUAUCUC